rnacentral:rRNA from 1 species
AACUAUGUGCCAGCAGCUGCGGUAAUACAUAGGUCGCGAGCGUUAUUCGGAUUUAUUGGGCGUAAAGCAAGCGCAGGCGGAUUGAUAAGUUCUGUGUUAAAAGCAGCUGCUCAACAGUUGUUUGCACCGAAUACUGUCAGUCUAGAAUGUGGUAGGGAGUUUCGGAAUUAAAUAUGGAGCGGUGGAAUGUGUAGAUAUAUUUAAGAACACCAGAAGCGAAGGCGGAAACUCAGGCCAUUAUUGACGCUUAGGCUUGAAAGUGUGGGGAGCAAAUGGGAUUAGAUACCCCAGUAGUCCACACCGUAAACGAUGGGUAUUAGAUGUCGGGAUUUAAGUUUCGGCGUUGUAGCUUACGUGUUAAAUACCCCGCCUGGGUAGUACAUAUGCAAAUAUGAAACUCAAAGGAAUUGACGGGGACCUGAACAAGUGGUGGAACAUGUUGCUUAAUUCGAUAAUACACGAAAAACCUUACCAAGGUUUGACAUCCCCCGCAAAACCAUGGAAACAUGGCGGAGGUUAUCGGGGUGACAGGUGGUGCAUGGUUGUCGUCAGCUCGUGUCAUGAGAUGUUUGGUUAAGUCCCGCAACGAGCGCAACCCUACUCCUUAGUUACCUUUUCUAAGGAGACUGAACAGUAAUGUAUAGGAAGGUUGGGAUCACGUCAAAUCAUCAUGCCCCUUAUGCCUUGGGCUGCAAACGUGUUACAAUGGCGAGUACAAUGUGUCGCAAGCUAGCGAUAGCAAGCCAAUCACCUAAAACUCGUCUCAGUUCGGAUAGGAGGCUGCAAUUCGCCUCCUUGAAGUUGGAAUCACUAGUAAUCCCGUGUCAGCUAUAUCGGGGUGAAUACGUUCCCAGGUCUUGUACAC